rnacentral:sRNA from 1 species
GCUGGGCAUGGUGGCGCAUGCCUGUAAUCCUAGCUCCUCAGGAGGCUGAGACAGGAAAAUUUUAAGUUCAAAGCUGGCCUUCAGCAAAAGUGAGGAGCUAUACAACUCAGUGAGACCCUGUCUCUA